CCUGAGAACAUUACUGUAAACUAGGUAUUAUACUAUGUAUGAAGCAAAUCCCAACCGUCAUUUGCAUUCUGCAACUUUGAGAUCACGCGUCAGAAGCGUUAUCGGAUCGUAACGACAACCUGGAGUAAUUAAAGUAAUCAGUUAAAAACAUUUGUUUGUAAACAAUCAGUUAGCUUUUUUGUCAAGUAUUUGUGCGCGGGAAGCCACAAGCGACAUCGCUUUUAGUCAGUCACAAUUGUUCGUCGUAAGAUGAGGUAUGAUUUUGUGUGGGAUGUAUGAAUAGGCUGACUGUGGGUUAUGACAGUGAGUUCGAAACAAUAUUCAGGUGCAGAAAUAUUAAAGGUUAAAGAUUCAAAGACACAAAGUAACGAACGAGGAAUAUUACUACGUUUUAAAACAGGACACCAAAAGAAAUUCCGUCAAGUGCCAGGUUUUCAUCACUGAGUGAGAUGGAGGCCUAUCAAGUCUGAAGAGCAACUUUCUGAAACACUUCUUGAAAGCGGGAAAGACAAUUUAUCAGCAUGCUGAGGCUAAAGACAUGCUGGAGGCAUUUGCCCAAUUAUGCAUCACUGAGAGAGGUGGCUGCCUCGAGUCUAAAGAGCAACGUUUUAAAACAGGACACCAAAAGAAAUUCCGUCAAGUGCCAGGUUUUCAUCAAUGAGUGAGAUGGAGGCCUAUCAAGUCUGGAGAGCAACUUUCUGAAACACUUCUUGAAAGCGGGAAAGACAAUUUAUCAGCAUGCUGAGGCUAAAGACAUGCUGGAGGCAUUUGCCCAAUUAUGCAUCACUGAGAGAGGUGGCUGCCUCGAGUCUAAAGAGCAACGUUUUAAAACAGGACACCAAAAGAAAUUCCGUCAAGUGCCAGGUUUUCAUCAAUGAGUGAGAUGGAGGCCUAUCAAGUCUGGAGAGCAACUUUCUGAAACACUUCUUGAAAGCGGGAAAGACAAUUUAUCAGCAUGCUGAGGCUAAAGACAUGCUGGAGGCAUUUGUCCGAUUAUGCAUCACUGAGAGAGGUGGCUGCCUCGAGUCUAAAGAGCAACGUUUUAAAACAGGACACCAAAAGAAAUUCCGUCAAGUGCCAGGUUUUCAUCAAUGAGUGAGAUGGAGGCCUAUCAAGUCUGGAGAGCAACUUUCUGAAACACUUCUUGAAAGCGGGAAAGACAAUUUAUCAGCAUGCUGAGGCUAAAGACAUGCUGGAGGCAUUUGUCCGAUUAUGCAUCACUGAGAGAGGUGGCUGCCUCGAGUCUAAAGAGCAACGUUUUAAAACAGGACACCAAAAGAAAUUCCGUCAAGUGCCAGGUUUUCAUCAAUGAGUGAGAUGGAGGCCUAUCAAGUCUGGAGAGCAACUUUCUGAAACACUUCUUGAAAGCGGGAAAGACAAUUUAUCAGCAUGCUGAGGCUAAAGACAUGCUGGAGGCAUUUGUCCGAUUAUGCAUCACUGAGAGAGGUGGCUGCCUCGAGUCUAAAGAGCAACGUUUUAAAACAGGACACCAAAAGAAAUUCCGUCAAGUGCCAGGUUUUCAUCACUGUGUGAGAUGGAGGCCUAUCAAGUCUGAAGAGCAACUUUCUGAAACACUUCUUGAAAGCGGGAAAGACAAUUUAUCAUUAUAUCUAAAGACAUGCUGGAGGCAUUUGUCCGAUUAUGCAUCACUGAGAGAGGUGGCUGCCUCGAGUCUAAAGAGCAAGUGCAGAAAUAUUAAAGGUUUAAGAUUCAAAGACACAAAAUAACGAACGAGGAAUAUUACAACGUUUUAAAACAGGACACCAAAAGAAAUUCGUCAAGUGCCAGGUUUUCAUCACUGAGUGAGAUGGAGGCCUAUCAAGUCUGAAGAGCAACUUUCUGAAACACUUCUUGAAAGCGGGAAAGACAAUUUAUCAUUAUAUCUAAAGACAUGCUGGAGGCAUUUGUCCGAUUAUGCAUCACUGAGAGAAUUGUUGGGAAGAAAAAGAAGAGAGGACCUGAAUAUUAAGUUUUCUAAAACACUGCUUGAAAGAGUCAUUGCAUCAAACGGAAUCGACAUUGUUAAUAGUCUGGUGCAUCACGGAGUGAUAUGGAAGUCUAUAUAGUCUAAAGAGUAAGAGCAAGAUUCCUCAAUUAAGAAACUUGACGACUCUUUCUGUUUUUCAAAAGAAAAUAAAACUCAAUUAUUCAAAUAGGAAGAAGAGUUUUAUUAAAGAUAACUAAGAUAUGCUAACCAACAAAUGCAUUGAGUCCACACACAAGACUUUGAUAUAAAAAAGUCACUGUUUGUUUGAGACUGUAUCCCAUUGCCAUACGUACUUUAAGCUCAUAUGCAUGUGCACGGAUUACCAAUAUGUGGUAGCAAACAAAUGCAUUGGGCAGCACACGCAAAUGCCUUUAUAUCAAAUAAGAAUGUUGUUUAAAGCUAUACCAAAAUGCCAUACACACUGUAAAAGGAUUAUAUGCGAAAGUUUAACAUGUGUCAACUCGUAAGGAACUAACUAUUUGUGUAUUCUGAAUAAUUGCAAACGGAUUCUUGAUUGUAUAUUUAUUAAUGAAUUGAAUCAUAGCUCAGAAAACUAAAA